GCUCGGGUUAGCGGUUAGCUUCACGUUAGCGCACACACACACACUCAGUAAGGUGAUGGAUGGUCUGAUGACAUCGUGGUCCAGUCUGUCUGCCCAGCUGCCUGUCUGCAAACACACACACACACACACACACACACACAGACACACACACACAGACACGCACGGGUGAACACAAAGAGGCAGUGAAAGAUCAGCCCAUUAGUUAAUUAGUCUGCUGAGCUGAAGGGAGUCCAGAGAGGGAGAGUGUGUGUGUGUGUGUGUCAGCGUGUCAGAGCUCCAUCAAGGAGCAGCAGAGA
ensembl:lncRNA